rnacentral:lncRNA from 1 species
UCACCUCCAAAGACGGAGCAGCAGAUCGGGCGCCGCCCCAAUCUAAGCCCUUUGAGCCGACGCGCGAGCAACCACCGCAACGCAGCACUGGCGCCUCCCAGACGGAGUUUAUAUCCAUAGGCAAAUGAUACAACAUAUACCAUUAUAUCUCAGUCAUGGUAGUACAUCAGGGCAGCAACAAUGCAACAUGGCAUCCAACAUGAUGACUUUUAUUCGAACAAGGAAUGGAAAUACACACACAUAACACAGGGUGACACACUGGUUUGGAUACUCUCGAUGGGAUCCAAUUUUAUUGAACGCAAAGGUGAGACACGACCUUGCCCUGUGAAAUCUCAGACCAUGGAUACGCAUCAUUACGCAUCAAGGGAUGUGAGGCCAGCAUCAGCGUUACAGAAAUUGACACAAGCAUCACCACACUGUUCCACAUAGAGUUUCAUCUCUUCAUCGUCAGCAGCUGGUGCCCAAAUAGCAUGUUAUGUGUCAGGAACUCGCCUUUUCAAUUAGUUUACAGGAAUGCAAAUACAAGAUGAAUUUUAUUUACCUGCGUUGACCAUGUAGUCACAUAGGGAAGACCUACAUCCCAAGUUGCAGUACUCCAUGGUGUCUGGUUCAUCUGUCAAAUUAAAAUAUCUAGCGUGUAAAUAAAAUCCUGUUCGAAACAAAUAAUUCCCCGGUUACAAUAUGCUUGAUGUUUUGGAUAUUCACAUGGUCUCUAUCAUUCGUUCCUUGUUAGUUAUUUUUCCAAUUACUUGUUGGUAGAAAAUUAUGAAAAAAAAACUCGUGGAAAAUUAUUCAUGACAAAUCUGAUCAUCUAACGCCAUCUAACAUAUUCAAAAUACUUCAUCAUAUUAGUAAGAAAACCAGGAUAAUUUUAACUUGACUAUAUGCUUAUCAGAAUGACAUCUGUUCUAUUUUUAAAAAAGAGGUAGUAUAUAAAAUAGAAGGAGUUCAUUCUCUUUACCUGAGUUGGACUCAAGGACCAAUUUAGGGAAGUCCUUAGGGCAGCUUAGGCCACUUGUGAGUUUACACCUGCAAACGUUUGCGCAUAACUUCUGAGCACCACGGGCGCGGCAAAGGUUGUAGCAGUUUCUUCCUAGGGUGCUCUUGCAGCAACUCUUGCCUUCUACUUGCACCUGUUCCAGAACCAACCCCAGUAUGAGUAAACACACCAUCACACCCUUGAGGCCCUUGCUUCCCAUGGCUGGCAGGCUAUCUUGCAGAAC